UAAAGGGUUAACCGGUUGUGACGAACUGGGUAUGUUAAUGUUUGCUCUGAAUACUGUGUUGGUGCCUCAGUGUCCCCUAGGCAGUUCUUAAGUAUCUAGGUGGUGG